GACGAACGCUGGCGGCGUGCCUAAUACAUGCAAGUCGAACGCAGUGGGGACGGGUGAGUAACACGUGGGUAACCUCCCAUCAGAGGGGAUAACACUUGGAAACAGGUGCUAAACCGAUACUGAUGGAUGGACCCGCGGUGCCUUAGAUAGUGGGUGAUUGAACGGGUCACCAAGGCCACGAUGCAUAGCCGACGUGAGAGUGGUAUCAGCCACACUGUGACUUAGACACGGCCCAGACUCCUACUGGAGGCAGCAGUAGGGAAUCUGCGGCAAUGGACGAAAGUCUGACCUAGCAACGCCGCGUGAGUGAAGAAGGUUUGCGGAUCGUAAAACUCUGUUGUUAGAGAAGCGGUAUUUAACCAGAAAGCCACGGCUAACUACGUGCCAGCAGCCGCGGUAAUUC
rnacentral:rRNA from 1 species